GCUACGGGAGGCAGCAGUGAGGAAUAUUGGUCAAUGGACGAGAGUCUGAACCAGCCAAGUAGCGUGAAGGAUGACUGCCCUAUGGGUUGUAAACUUCUUUUAUAAAGGAAUAAAACGAGGCACGUGUGCCUUUUUGCAUGUACUUUAUGAAUAAGGAUCGGCUAACUCCGUGCCAGCAGCCGCGGUAAUACGGAGGAUCCGAGCGUUAUCCGGAUUUAUUGGGUUUAACGGGAGCGUAGAUGGGUUGUUAAGUAAGUUGUGAAAGUUUGCGGCUCAACCGUAAAAUUGCAAUUGAUACUGGCAGUCUUGAGUACAGUUGAGGUAGGCGGAAUUCGUGGUGGAGCGGUGAAAUGCUUAGAUAUCACGAAGAACCCCGAUUGCGAAGGCAGCUUACUAAACUGUGACUGACAUUGAUGCUCGAAAGUGUGGGUAUCAAACAGGAUUAGAUACACUGGUAGUC
rnacentral:rRNA from 1 species